UACGUAGGGCGCAAGCGUUGUCCGGAAUUAUUGGGCGUAAAGAGCUCGUAGGCGGUCUGUCGCGUCUGGUGUGAAAUUCCGAGGCUCAACCUCGGGCUUGCAUCGGGUACGGGCGGACUAGAGUGCUGUAGGGGAGACUGGAAUUCCUGGUGUAGCGGUGGAAUGCGCAGAUAUCAGGAGGAACACCGAUGGCGAAGGCAGGUCUCUGGGCAGUUACUGACGCUGAGGAGCGAAGGCAUGGGGAGCGAACAGG
rnacentral:rRNA from 1 species